AUUGAACGCUGGCGGAAUGCUUUACACAUGCAAGUCGAACGGCAGCACGGGUGCUUGCACCUGGUGGCGAGUGGCGAACGGGUGAGUAAUACAUCGGAACGUACCCAGUUAUGGGGGAUAACUAACCGAAAGGUUAGCUAAUACCGCAUACGCCCUGAGGGGGAAAGCGGGGGACCGUAAGGCCUCGCGUAAUUGGAGCGGCCGAUGUCUGAUUAGCUAGUUGGUGAGGUAAAGGCUCACCAAGGCGACGAUCAGUAGCAGGUCUGAGAGGAUGAUCUGCCACACUGGAACUGAGACACGGUCCAGACUCCUACGGGAGGCAGCAGUGGGGAAUUUUGGACAAUGGGCGAAAGCCUGAUCCAGCCAUUCCGCGUGAGUGAAGAAGGCCUUCGGGUUGUAAAGCUCUUUCGGCAGGGAAGAAACGCUCUGGGAUAAUACUCCGGGGUAAUGACGGUACCUGAAGAAGAAGCACCGGCUAACUACGUGCCAGCAGCCGCCGUAA
rnacentral:rRNA from 1 species